rnacentral:rRNA from 1 species
GAUAACCUGCCCAUCAGCCUGGGAUAACGCCGGGAAACCGGUGCUAAUACCGGAUACGCUCACCGGGUUGCAUAGCCUGGUGAGGAAAGGGUAUCCGCUGAUGGAUGGGUCCGCGUCCCAUUAGCUUGUUGGUAGGGUAACGACCUACCAAGGCGACGAUGGGUAGCCGGCCUGAGAGGGCGACCGGCCACACUGGAACUGAGACACGGUCCAGACUCCUACGGGAGGCAGCAGUGGGGAAUCUUCCGCAAUGGGCGCAAGCCUGACGGAGCAACGCCGCGUGAGCGAAGAAGGCCUUCGGGUUGUAAAGC